ACAGAUGUCAUGACUACCAAGUACACAACAGCUGGUGGGGAUUAGAUAACAAGCACCCUGGUUCAGAGAUUAAGCUCCUGAGCUCUAUGAGUUUACCAAGCUUUUUGGAAGAGUGACGGUUUGCUUGCUAGCUGGGUUUUCCUUCAUUCCCACAGCUCUAAUUAUAAACAGUUGUCCACCUCAAGAGAAACUUUAGUCUACUCUUCCAUCAAUGCCUGUGCAUAACUUCUGUAGCAUUGACAGGAAUCAAAUGUAUGCAUCAGAAAAGAAGCCAUGUCAAUGCUUAAAUGCAACAAUGUUGAAAGAGAAAUAACGACAGCAAAUUCUCAGGGUGAACUGAAAUACUAAAACCCUUGGCCAUCAAACUGAGUACAUCCAAUCUGUUCCACCUGGUGACAGACAGAAGAACAACUUUGAAAAGACUGUGACACAACAGAUAUUUGCAACUUAAAAGCACAGGCCAGUGCUGUGUGACUGCAGUGCAAUUUGCUGUUUGACAUGAGUGACUUGAGGAACUGUGAACUAGAGAAUCUGAUUGCUUUGGAGUACUUAAGGAAGGGUUUCAUACAGCUGAAGAAAAUUAAACCCUGGAGAACGAGCCUUAACCAGAUGGGAUCCAUGAGAUCUGAACAUCCUCUUCUCACAGGGGGUGCUCCUCACAUCAGAGACAGAUGAUGGAGUUUUCCCAAGGAUCACUGCACUCCCAUCAAAGAAUGGGGUCUCCUGACAAAGCAGAAGUCUUCAAAAUUACAAAUGAUAUGAAGAUGGUGGAUACGAAACAACUGUUCACUGGCUCCCAGAACUGAGAAGCACUUUGUCAUAGAAGCACUUUGUCUUCCUGAAGGGCCAAGGCCUACCUGGCUGCUGAACUGGCCCUGCUCAAGGAAGCAGCGUAAGGCCAGCAGGCUGCCUUCCUUUUCUAUGUACAAAAUGAUUAACUGAUCGUUUCUGAAACACCCAGUUGCAAAGUGCAUUAC